rnacentral:rRNA from 1 species
AUUGAACGCUGGCGGCAUGCUUUACACAUGCAAGUCGAACGGUAACAGGCCUUCGGGUGCUGACGAGUGGCGAACGGGUGAGUAAUGCAUCGGAACGUACCCAGAGGUGGGGGAUAACGCAGCGAAAGCUGUGCUAAUACCGCAUGUGAUCUGAGGAUGAAAGCGGGGGACCGAGCAGCAAUGUUUGGCCUCGCGCCUUUGGAGCGGCCGAUGUCGGAUUAGCUAGUUGGUGGGGUAAAGGCCUACCAAGGCGACGAUCCGUAGCUGGUCUGAGAGGACGAGCAGCCACACUGGGACUGAGACACGGCCCAGACUCCUACGGGAGGCAGCAGUGGGGAAUUUUGGACAAUGGGCGCAAGCCUGAUCCAGCAAUGCCGCGUGCGGGAAGAAGGCCUUCGGGUUGUAGACCGCUUUUGGCAGGAACGAAACGGUGUCCGCUAAUACCGGGCGCUAAUGACGGUACCUGCAGAAUAAGCACCGGCUAACUACGUG